rnacentral:tRNA from 1 species
CCUUCGAUAGCUCAGUUGGUAGAGCGGAGGACUGUAGAUCCUUAGGUCGCUGGUUCAACUCCGGCUCAAAGGA